CCCGGGCGACCGGCGCACGGGUGAGUAACACGUAUGAAACCUGCCCGUAGCAGGGGGAUAAGCGGAAGAAAUUCCGUCUAAUACCGCGUAACAACCCAUGGAGGCAUCUCUGUGGGUUUAAAGGAAGCGAUUCCGGCUACGGAUGGUCAUGCGUCGCAUUAGCUAGUUGGCGGGGUAACGGCCCACCAAGGCGACGAUGCGUAGGGGUUCUGAGAGGAAGGUCCCCCACACUGGUACUGAGACACGGACCAGACUCCUACGGAAGGCAGCAG
rnacentral:rRNA from 1 species